AAGUAAGAAGCGAUAUAUUGCAAUUAGUUUCGACCUAAUAUUAGAUGAAUUCAUCCUUACUUU
rnacentral:tRNA from 1 species